ACAGAGAGGAAGGUCCCCCACAUUGGAACUGAGACACGGUCCAAACUCCUACGGGAGGCAGCAGUGAGGAAUAUUGGUCAAUGGGCGAGAGCCUGAACCAGCCAAGUAGCGUGAAGGAUGAAGGUCCUACGGAUUGUAAACUUCUUUUAUACGGGAAUAAAGUAUCCUACGUGUAGGAUUUUGUAUGUACCGUAUGAAUAAGCAUCGGCUAACUCCGUGCCAGCAGCCGCGGUAAUACGGAGGAUGCGAGCGUUAUCCGGAUUUAUUGGGUUUAAAGGGAGCGCAGACGGGAGAUUAAGUCAGUUGUGAAAGUUUGCGGCUCAACCGUAAAAUUGCAGUUGAUACUGGUUUCCUUGAGUGCAGUUGAGGCAGGCGGAAUUCGUGGUGUAGCGGUGAAAUGCUUAGAUAUCACGAAGAACCCCGAUUGCGAAGGCAGCUUGCUAAACUGUAACUGACGUUCAUGCUCGAAAGUGUGGGUAUCAAACAGGAUUAGAUACCCUGGUAGUCCACACGGUAAACGAUGGAUACUCGCUGUUGGCGAUAUACUGUCAGCGGCCAAGCGAAAGCAUUAAGUAUCCCACCUGGGGAGUACGCCGGCAACGGUGAAACUCAAAGGAAUUGACGGGGGCCCGCACAAGCGGAGGAACAUGUGGUUUAAUUCGAUGAUACGCGAGGAACCUUACCCGGGCUUAAAUUGCAGACGAAUUACGAGGAAACUUGUAAGCCGCAAGGCGUCUGUGAAGGUGCUGCAUGGUUGUCGUCAGCUCGUGCCGUGAGGUGCCGGCUUAAGUGCCAUAACGAGCGCAACCCUCGUGGUCAGUUACUAACAGGUUAAGCUGAGGACUCUGGCCAGACUGCCAUCGUAAGAUGUGAGGAAGGUGGGGAUGACGUCAAAUCAGCACGGCCCUUACGUCCGGGGCUACACACGUGUUACAAUGGGAGGUACAGAAGGCAGCUACCCGGCGACGGGAUGCCAAUCCCCAAAACCUCUCUCAGUUCGGACUGGAGUCUGCAACCCGACUCCACGAAGCUGGAUUCGCUAGUAAUCGCGCAUCAGCCACGGCGCGGUGAAUACGUUCCCGGGCCUUGUACU
rnacentral:rRNA from 1 species